rnacentral:rRNA from 1 species
UAGGCGGUUUGUCGCGUCUGUCGUGAAAGUCCGGGGCUUAACCCCGGAUCUGCGGUGGGUACGGGCAGACUAGAGUGCAGUAGGGGAGACUGGAAUUCCUGGUGUAGCGGUGGAAUGCGCAGAUAUCAGGAGGAACACCGAUGGCGAAGGCAGGUCUCUGGGCUGUAACUGACGCUGAGGAGCGAAAGCAUGGGGAGCGAACAGGAUUAGAUACCCUGGUAGUCCAUGCCGUAAACGUUGGGCACUAGGUGUGGGGAACAUUCCACGUUUUCCGCGCCGCAGCUAACGCAUUAAGUGCCCCGCCUGGGGAGUACGGCCGCAAGGCUAAAACUCAAAGGAAUUGACGGGGGCCCGCACAAGCGGCGGAGCAUGCGGAUUAAUUCGAUGCAACGCGAAGAACCUUACCAAGGCUUGACAUGUUCUCGAUCGCCGUAGAGAUACGGUUUCCCCUUUGGGGCGGGUUCACAGGUGGUGCAUGGUUGUCGUCAGCUCGUGUCGUGAGAUGUUGGGUUAAGUCCCGCAACGAGCGCAACCCUCGUUCCAUGUUGCCAGCACUUCGGGUGGGGACUCAUGGGAGACUGCCGGGGUCAACUCGGAGGAAGGUGGGGACGACGUCAAAUCAUCAUGCCCCUUAUGUCUUGGGCUUCACGCAUGCUACAAUGGCCGGUACAAUGGGUUGCGAUACUGUGAGGUGGAGCUAAUCCCAAAAAGCCGGUCUCAGUUCGGAUUGGGGUCUGCAACUCGACCCCAUGAAGUCGGAGUCGCUAGUAAUCGCAGAUCAGCAACGCUGCGGUGAAUACGUUCCCGGGCCUUGUACACACCGCCCGUCAAGUCACGAAAGUCGGUAACACCCGAAGCCGGUGGCCUAACCCUUGU